UACAGAGGGUGCAAGCGUUAAUCGGAAUUACUGGGCGUAAAGCGUGCGUAGUCGGUUAUCUAAGUCGGGUGUGAAAUCCCCGGGCUCAACCUGGGAAUUGCAGUGGAUACUGGCGAGCUAGAGUGCGGUAGAGGAUGGUGGAAUUCCCGGUGUAGCGGUGAAAUGCGUAGAGAUCGGGAGGAACACCCGUGGCGAAGGCGGCCAUCUGGACCAGCACUGACGCUGAGGCACGAAAGCGUGGGGAGCAAACAGG
rnacentral:rRNA from 1 species